AGCGAACGCUGGCGGCAGGCUUAACACAUGCAAGUCGAGCGGGCGUAGCAAUACGUCAGCGGCAGACGGGUGAGUAACGCGUGGGAACGUACCUUUUGGUUCGGAACAACACAGGGAAACUUGUGCUAAUACCGGAUAAGCCCUUACGGAGAAAGAUUUAUCGCCGAAAGAUCGGCCCGCGUCUGAUUAGCUAGUUGGUGUGGUAACGGCGCACCAAGGCGACGAUCAGUAGCNGGUCUGAGAGGAUGAUCAGCCACAUUGGGACUGAGACACGGCCCAAACUCCUACGGGAGGCAGCAGGUGGGGAAUAUUGGACAA
rnacentral:rRNA from 1 species